rnacentral:rRNA from 1 species
CAGCCGUAAACUAUGCGCGUUAGGUGUAUCGGUGACCACGAGUUACCGAGGUGCCGAAGGGAAACCGUGAAACGUGCCGCCUGGGAAGUACGGUCGCAAGGCUGAAACUUAAAGGAAUUGGCGGGGGAGCACCACAACAGGUGGAGCCUGCGGUUUAAUUGGACUCAACGCCGGGAAGCUCACCGGAUAGGACAGCAGAAUGAUUGCCGGGCUGAAGACCCUGCAUGACUAGCUGAGAGGUGGUGCAUGGCGUCAGUGACUGUU